UACGUAGGGCGCAAGCGUUGUCCGGAAUUAUUGGGCGUAAAGAGCUCGUAGGCGGUCUGUCACGUCUGCCGUGAAAACCCGAGGCUUAACCUCGUGGCUUGCGGUGGAUACGGGCAGACUAGAGGUAGGUAGGGGAGAACGGAAUUCCCGGUGUAGCGGUGAAAUGCGCAGAUAUCGGGAGGAACACCGGUGGCGAGGGCGGUUCUCUGGGCCUUACCUGACGCUGAGGAGCGAAAGCAUGGGGAGCGAACAGG
rnacentral:rRNA from 1 species